rnacentral:rRNA from 1 species
GACGAACGCUGGCGGCGCUCCUAACACAUGCAAGUCGAACGAGCGAAAGAGAGCUUGCUUUCUUGAGCGAGUGGCGAACGGGUGAGUAACGCGUGAGGAACCUGCCUCAAAGAGGGGGACAACAGUUGGAAACGACUGCUAAUACCGCAUAAGCCCACGACCCGGCAUCGGGUUGAGGGAAAAGGAGCAAUCCGCUUUGAGAUGGCCUCGCGUCCGAUUAGCUAGUUGGUGAGGUAACGGCCCACCAAGGCGACGAUCGGUAGCCGGACUGAGAGGUUGAACGGCCACAUUGGGACUGAGACACGGCCCAGACUCCUACGGGAGGCAGCAGUGGGGAAUAUUGCACAAUGGGGGAAACCCUGAUGCAGCGACGCCGCGUGGAGGAAGAAGGUCUUCGGAUUGUAAACUCCUGUUGUUGAGGAAGAUAAUGACGGUACUCAACAAGGAAGUGACGGCUAACUACGUGCCAGCAGCCGCGGUAAAACGUAGGUCACAAGCGUUGUCCGGAAUUACUGGGUGUAAAGGGAGCGCAGGCGGGAAGACAAGUUGGAGGUGAAAUCUAUGGGCUCAACCCAUAAACUGCUUUCAAAACUGUUUUUCUUGAGUAGUGCAGAGGUAGGCGGAAUUCCCGGUGUAGCGGUGGAAUGCGUAGAUAUCGGGAGGAACACCAGUGGCGAAGGCGGCCUACUGGGCACCAACUGACGCUGAGGCUCGAAAGUGUGGGUAGCAAACAGG